UGAGCCACGUCUCCGAUUUCGUGGGUCCGGGACAAUAAAAACGGACCUCGCCCACGAAAUCCCGACCCUAACCCGAACCAUUAGCACCUGGCAAAGCGAUUCGUUGGGAGCAGCAGCGGCGCAAGGUGAGGCCAUCAUCGAAGACCUCUCGGCACCGCUAUUGAGAUCUCGGUGGGGAGCUUUGGCGCAAUGUUGAACCUCUAGGGGCACGUCCAUGGCCUUAGCGGGAGUCAUGGCGCAUUGUGAUCGAGUUGAUUCCCCGCCAUCGUCACACCGCCGUCGCGGAUCCGCUCAACGCCAUGAACCACUAAACCUCCUGCGUAUACCACGGUGAGUACGCCCCCACUGAUUUCGCAUGGUCUUUCACUACAUGUACCAUAGGUCGGAUUGGGAAAUAGUUGUAGAAAUCGCCAGUGACGCAUGUUCCGGCCAUGCCGCCGCCGUUGUAGACAUGUCCGAUGGCCGGAGUUGGGGCAGUAACAGUUACCGUUGGAUCCCGUAGCUACGACGCGGAUUUGAUCCUGGCACAUCGCUUGGGUAGGCAUGAUCUAAACUGUUAUGAUCCGAUCGGACGGAUCUGGGCAGUCUCGGGUCGGAUGAGAUCUACACCGUAGAUUUUGGAUCCCGGGGUCGACGUCGAAUACGUAUUCAAGGUGAUGCUAGAUCUAAUGCGGGCCGUAUGAUAUGGAUCCUACGGUCCACAUUCCAUACCGAUUCGCUUAUAGCACAACUUAAUUUGGACCGUAGAUCAGAUCGAGCGGCUGAGGGCAUCCCUACCCUUUGGCCAGGGAAAUUUAUUAAAGAGACCCCACAGAAGUUAGAUAUCAACCCGCGGUCCGGUGCCACUGUGUACUGAGUCUCGGGAUCUCUUACACAGUUGCCCCUGGGUUUCUGUUUAUUACGCGCACAGUCCAGAGUGUUGUUAAAUGAGAGAAAAUAUUUAUAAAUUGUUUUUUGAAUAUAGAAAUAACUGCAGAAACUUAUUUAAUUGCUAGAAAAUUUAUAUUAAGUCCAAAUUGAUCCAUUCCAGUUCCUAUAAUUUUGUAUUAAUAUUGUCUAUAACUCAGUCACACUGUUUUAACAUGAAAAUUGUAUUAAAAGUGAUCUCUUAUUUAAUCUUGUACCAAACACAUAAAACCUUUGGAAAUUCAUAACUUAAAAUUUGUAACUCCGAAUUUAGUGAUUCUUUUUCCUAUGAUCUCAUUUUAAUGUGUAGAUUAUUAAUAUGUAUUUUGUAUACAUAUUUGGUGUGAUGUUAAUUUAUCCUUUGUACUAUACUUGUUUGUAUUAUGGCGAGUAGAAGAGCCAGUGGCCAAGGAUCCGGGUGUUCAGCAGGUAGAAGUUGCUGAGUAGGAGCUCAUUGAAGGCAAGUUGUGCACUUGACCACUUUUAUUACCCAAUAAUGUUCUUUAUAAUCAUUAUUCGUGCAUAGGUUUAAUUUUGAUGGGACCCAACACGUGCCACCACAAGGGUGGAAUGGGACGCCCUUGGCUGACUAACUAGGAAAGCUAGUGGAGUACUACCUUACCCAGUAGGGGCAAGGUGUAACGCCCUGAAUUUGGGGGUAGAAUUUUUUCUUCUUUUCUCUCACCAAAUUCGGGCGUUACUCUCUUUUCUCUUUCCCCGUUUGCUCCUUCUUCCCAAUUUCAAACCAGUAUAGCGACGGGUAUCCGUGUCAUGUAUAAACCAAACCCUAAGUCUCAUGGGUGUUGCAUCAUGCCGAAGCACAUUUCUUUGUCUGAUGUUGAAUGUUCGUCUCGUUCCGUUCCGGAUUUCGGUUCGCGAUUUAAUUCCGUUUAGUGGUCGCGCUCGUCGUGGGUUUUCGAUCCGCGAAGUGGCCCGGCCCAACCUAGCCCAGCCCAGCCGGCCCGGCCCGCCCCGGCCUGCGCGCCCCUGGCGCCUAAACCCCCCCCCCCCAUGCGCCCUCCCCUCCCCUUCUCCUCUCUCUCUCCCUCUCCCUCCUCUUCUUCCCCCCCCCCCCCGCGCGCGCCCUCCCUCUCCCCUGCCCGCGCGCGACCCCGUCCCCGCCCGCCCCUACCCGGCGCGGCGGCGCCCGCCCCCUGCCCCUCCCCGCGGCGGCGAUCUCGCCCGCCCCUGCUCGCCCGCGGCGGCGCCCGCUCGCCCCUGCCCGCCCGGCGGCGCUCCCCGCCCCUCCCCCGCGCGCGGUGGCGAUCCCGCCGCCCAGCUCGGCCGCCAUGGCCGGCUCGGCCGCCCCCGCGCCCUGCCCCGUGCCCGGCCGGCUCGGCCGCCCCCGCGCCCUGCCCCGUGCCCGCCCGGCUCGGCCGCCCCCGUGCCCGCCCGGCUCGGCCGCCCCUGUGGCCGCCCGGCCUCGGCCGCCCCUGGCCGGUUCAACCGCCCCCCUGGCCGGUUCAACCGCCCUGGCCCCAGCUCGCCCGCCCGUUCCCCCGUCCCGGCCUCGCCCGACCGUAUCUUCGCUCGCCCGCGCUCGCGGUGAUUAUUCGUUAAUUAGCGUGUUGCGUCGCGCGCUUCGCCGCGCGACGGAUUUGUCUAAAUUCAUAUUCUAUCUUGUGUUGCGUCGUGCGCUUCGUCGCACGACGAUCCAUUUUUGCUUCAGGUUGUUUAAGGUGUAACGCCGCGUGUGUAUUCACGCGACGUUCCACUUUGGACUCAGUUUAGCCGACGUAUGCCGUCGUGCGCUUCGUCGCGCGACGCUUAACGUCUCUUCUUAACUAAGGCAAAGUGUCUCGUUGCGUGCUCGGUCGCGCGACGAGUCGUUAACUUUUUAAUUUUGUUUUAGAGAGCUUUGUCGCGCGUCUCGCCGCGCGACCAUCCUUUUAUGUAUCUCCACCUGCUUAUAAUAAUUAGACAUGAAACAUGACUUUACUUUACGCUAAACAUAGUGUCUACAUUAAAUUUCCUUCCAUUAAGCGAGUGGUUAAUUUAUAAUCAUGUAACGUGAUCGUUUCUCGACUGUCUUUUUCUCUUUCUCUCUUAACCGUACUCGCGAGCCUGCGUAGAACGUCUGUUUACUUAUUGCAUUCUAUUGUAUGGUGUACUGUUCUUUGGUAUUAAAUAUGUGGAUGUGUGUAUGUUUGCGCUCGCAUAGAGAACGAUCCGGUUGAAGAGCCCGAGGAACUCGCAGGAGAAGCCCCUGAGCAGUAGUCGGUUGGUGGAGGCAAGUGUCCCUUGACCUAUCUAUGUCCUAUUCAUUAUUUAAUUCACCUCCCGCUUUACACAUUUAUGCCUAAGGAUUGACUAGCUUUUGUUAUCCAUGUCCUUGUUUACCUAUUUGGGUUGGAUUAUUACUGUUUAGCUUUAUGCUACUGCUUAACUCUAAUCAAUGAACAUGAUGAGAUUAUCUAUGAUACGCUGUUUCCCCUCUUCUUAUUAUGAUGUUGUGCUUGUGGUCAUCAAGGGGGCUCGAGCGGUUUCUCGAGUGCAUCUCCGUAAGGACCUGUUCUAUGGAUGACCGCCCGGGAAAACAGUGCAACCAUGAGGGUGGAAUGGGGUGCCCUUAGCUGAAUAAUUAGAGGACCCGGGGUGUAGUUCGCUUAGCCGUCGUGCCGUCAAUGGGGCUCGGUGUAUGCGGCUCGCUCUGCCAAGUUUGGGUUCGCCCCUUGGGGAGGAGUGCGGUGCAUUUAGGAAACCUAACGGGUGGCUACAGCCCCGGGGAAUCUUUGUAAAGGCUACGUAGUGAUGCCCUGCUGGGUCACCUUGGUAGUGAUCAAUGGAGAGUCAUGAUCUCCGGGCAGAAUGGGAAUCACGGCUUGUGGGUAAAGUGCACAACCUCUGCAGAGUGUUUGAAAACUGAUAUAUCAGCCGUGCUCGCGGUUAUGAGCGGCCAAGGGAGCUCCAGUGAUUAAUGGUACUUGAUCAGAGAUACUUUGGUACAGGUGGUUAUGAGAUUGAUGGUUUUGGUUAUGACUAUGAUGCUGGUAAGUGGUACUCUUUCCGUUUGGAAAGGAGUACGUUUGGGUUAAUAACUUGGGAUUAAUGCUAAAACUUGGCUUCCUACUAGUAAGUAAUAAUCUGACCAACUAAAAGCAACUGCUUGACUUAUCCCCACAUAAAGCUAGUCCACUACAGCCAAACAGGAUACUUGCUGAGUAUGUUGAUGUGUACUAACCCUUGCUCUACACACCAAACCCCCCCAUCCCCAGGUUGUCAGCAUUGCAACCACUGCUCAGGCGAAGAUGAAGCUGUGGAAGGAGACUUCCAGGAGUUCCAAGACUACGACGAGUUCUAGGUGUGGGUUAGCGGCAACCCCCAGUCGGCUGCCUGUGAAGGCCGCGGUUAUCUACGUUUCUUUUCCGCACUUUGAUUUAUUGUAAGAAUUAUAUGGACGUCUCAGACGUA
rnacentral:lncRNA from 1 species